UUCUGACUGAUGGGGAGGCUGGGGCAGCCACAGGGCUUCAGGACAUAGGACACUGGGCUGGGGGGUUUACACCCACCUAUCAGAACCUUAGAACAACCCGAUGGUACAACCCAGUUCACAGAUAGGGAAACUGAGGCUCAGGGAGGUUAAGUUGCUGCUGAAACCAUAAGGCUAGUGACUCCAAAACUAGCCUCUUGCCCACACCAAGCUGCUUUUCUGUAACAGCAUUUACCUGGGGAGACUGGCCGUGAGAGUAGCUCCCAUGGGUUGUGAGUUUGCGGCCUCUCGUGCACCAAGCGCAUAGAGGCUGGGAUGCCGCAAACGGUAAAUGUGAAGGGUAGCCUCUAUGGUCACUUGUUCCUUUUCCAAGCUAAGGGGUUUAAGUGACACGGUCAAGGCCUCAAGACUGCCUAAAUAGCUGGGGAGCUGAGCAUUGGAGUCAGGCUUGGCUCGUAGAAGCUCUGCUCUUGACCUUGACCCCUGGCAGCCUCCUGGAGGUGUAGUGGGGUUACUCUCUGUAACAGUGCUCCCCCACUGAGGAGCUGAUGCCCCCUCUGUAGCUCAGCCUCUGCCAGAGGCUGCCCCCUGGUGUCUGCUUGGGACUUGCAGGAGGUGAGUUGAUCGUGUGCCAGGUCCGUCUUUCCUGUCCACGGGGUGUUGGUGUCCGGUCUUAUCCCAGACCCCUGGGAUCACAGGAGAAUCAGCAGAGUGACCUUGGCCAAGCAUCACCUAGGAAUACUUGGCUCGGCCUUGCUCCCCCACUGGGGAGAAUGUCUGGGCACUUGUACUGGGACUCUACCAAGAUGUCCCCUCCCUUCUCCACCUUCUGAUCAGCCGAGUCCUGCCCAUCCCUCAGAGUCUGGCUCCUUUCCUCCCCUUUCAGGAAGCACACCCAGGUGCCUUCCUCUUUCUUCCUUCAUUCCUCCCUCUGAGAAGUGCUGAUGGGCUGCCGAUGGUGCUUCAGGCCAGGGGGGGACACUGAGGAGGAAACAAUCUCCCAAACUCCCUGCUGAGCGCUUGGAGAAGCAGGUCACUAGGAACAGAGUAGGGGGAAGCCAGGGAAGGUGCGUCUAACGAAUGCACGCGCUACAGCCAGGCAGACCAGGUGGCCCAGGUGGAGAUGCAGCCCAGGCGAAGGCUAGGGAUGAGGAGAGACAGCCUCCUUCUGGGCACCAGCUGCCUGUUAGGUCCCCAGAGACAUUGACAUGACGGUACGUGGUGCAGGUGGGUUGUUACGGAGAUCAGCAGCCUGUGUGCACACCAGCUGGCACUGUUUUUCCGCUCUGAGGCCAGGAGGCUGAGGGAGAUGUUGUUUGCAUGUUUGCUGCAGCUGCCCACGUCUCAGCCACAGAAGGCACAGUAGCCCUGAGCGUGGCUUCCAGGCUCCCCCUGGGUGCCUUCUCACCAGUGCUUUUGUUCUGUUCCUCUGUGCAAGAAAGGAAAAGCUUUUCCUCCCUCCCUGCUGCAGAGCUCCCUCCCCUCUGCAGGGGAGGGUUUCAGUAGAGGCAGCGGCCUGGAACAGUGCGAGUCCCAGGCUUGGAGUGGGAAGACUACUCCAGCCCAGCCCCAUCGUGAACUGUGUGACCUUGGGCAAGUCAUGUAUCUCCAUCUUUGAGCCUUGGUUUCCUUCCUUGUAAAAUGGGGCCUUGCCUGCUCAUUCACACCUCCAUUCCAGAAUGGAAAGUUAGAGGCAGCCCCUGCCCUCACAAGGUAUCGUGGUUCUUAACUCUGAGUCACAGAGUUCUUUGAGAACAGGUUGAAACCAAUGGAAUAUCUCCCAGAAGAAGUGGGCCUAUGUACAUAUAAAAUAAUAUGUCUAGCAUUUAAAGAAGUUCUGGACUCUGGAAGCCCAGUGUCCUGGCCUGCCCACAGGGUUGAGAGAGGGAGAGAUGAGGCAAAGGGUGAGAUUUCACUUUGUAAAUUGACAUGUGCAAUUCACAUGGAUGGUAGUGAUCAGCAUUACAUUCUUCCUUUAUUCUUGGUGAUGCCAGCCCACGACUCCAGCACUAAACCAAGUUGAUUCACUCUGCCCUUGACAGAGAUUGUCUUGUUCCCUGGUAUCUGGAAGCUUGAUUUUCUUUCCAUAUUACAGGUGACUCGGGGAAAGGCACUCAGCCUUCACAGUGUGGCUCUAGGCCAGCCCUGCUGAAGUAAAGAGUGGAUCCAGGCUAGACCCAGCAGAGUUUGAAUUCAGAGCCAUGAAUCAAACAUCCUUCCCUUGCUUCUCCAAGGGCCUGAGAACCUGAAAAUUCCUUUCUAGGACUUUCCACACCAAAAGUUGUCUGGGAAUGAGCCCCAGCCUCUGCUCUAAGUUCCCCAGUGGAGGUAAAGCCUGAUGGCAUCUUCCUUUUCCUCCCAUAUUGCAAGCCUUCUGGAGCUGGUGGCAACCAGCAGUACUCCUUGGCCGUGGGUGUGGAAAAUGGAGCUCAUCCAUGUGCCCCAGAGGAUGUGAGUCACAAAUGGAAUGUCCUCUCCAGUUGAAACAGCCCAGUCCAUGGAGACGGACCUAGGCACAUGAGUUUAGGCAUUCACGAUGGCAAGACUGAAAAUGUGAAUACCCUGGUGUUCAGCACACACCUGACCUCAGAGUUACCGGAAUUUACCUGCACAGAGCACCUGCUCUCCCUAAAGGAGCAGGCUUGUGUUAAGUACAUAGGGAUUUGUCACCACCUGAUAUCUGUACCCUGAUCAGAGAGUUCCAGUUGCCUGCCGACUAUGAAGGUCUCAUUGACUGUAUAAACAAUGACAUUUUGUAAACUUGGUGAAUUCCCCAGCAGUCUUUGCCAGUAGGUCAUGCAGGUAGGUAGCUGUAAGUGUUGAGCCCUGUUUGACCAUCUCACGUGGAUACCUCCAAGUUUUGUGGCCAGAGAAAUGUUAAAGAGAAGCCCCAGAGGUCACCUGCCUGAGGCCCUCGUGCCAGGAGGAGAGAGCAGAACAGACCAGCCAGGGAGAAAGGAAACUGGUUGGUUGAGCAAGCUGUCUCCACGAGACACUGAGCUGUCAGCCUUGGGCAGGGAAGUGGGAUUGUUUUCCCCAUUUUACAGAAAGAUGACAAAAUGGCUCGAGGGCCCAGAACUGGUUCUCCUUUGUGGUGGGGGCUCCAAUCCAGGGCUCACUCUUAUCUUCCCAGCUUAUCUUGUUGCCAGGUGGGCAGGGAUGUGUCUGCCACUGGGCACAGCCCUUCCCAACUCUGCAGGUAGUUUGCAGUGGGUCAUGGUGGGAGUACAAAUCAACCCCCAACUGAGAGCUAGUUGUUAACAUUUACCAGCACACCACUGCCUGCAGGAGCUGCCCUCUCCUGUCCUUUGAGGUCCUUGUUUCCCAGCCACCAAGCUGCCCUUAAAAUACAUGAGCGAGACUGGGUUUUAAACCUACACAGUAUAUCAACUAUAAUCCAAAAACAGACACAGUGCCCCCCCAAAAUAAGUAAUAAACCUGCACGGUCACUAGUU